AAUAGAAAGUAAUUAAGGGCGUAUGGCGGAUGCCUAGGCUCACGGAGGCGAUGAAGGACGUGAUAAGCUGCGAUAAGCCUCGGGUAGAUGCAAAUAAUCUUUGAUCCGAGGAUUUCCGAAUGGGACAACCUGACUGUCUGAAUGAUAGUCACCCAUAUAUUUUUUAUGGGAGCAAACGCAGGGAACUGAAACAUCUUAGUACCUGUAGGAAAAGAAAAUAAUUUAAUGAUUCCCCUAGUAGUGGCGAGCGAACGGGGAAAAGCCCAAACCUAUGACGUAGCAAUGCGUGAUAGGGGUAGUAGGGUCACGAUAUCGUACUUUGAAAGUGAGGAGAAUGUUCUGGAAAGUUCAAUAAUAUAAGGUGAUAAUCCUGUAUCCGAAGCUUGAUGAGACGUAGUGAAUCCCUGAGUAGUGCGGAGCACGAGUAAUUCUGCAUGAAUCCGCCGGGACCAUCCGGUAAGGCUAAAUACUCCCGUGAGACCGAUAGUGAAUUAGUACCGUGAGGGAAAGGUGAAAAGCACUCCAAUGAGGAGAGUGAAAUAGUUCCUGAAACCAUACGCCUACAAGCGGUCGGAGCAUAUAUAUAUGUGACGGCGUGCCUUUUGCAUAAUGAACCUACGAGUUACCAUGUCCAGCGAGGUUAAGGGGUUCAGCCCCGUAUCCGUAGUGAAAGCGAGCCUAAAUAGGGCGUAUAGUUGGAUGGGGUAGACGCGAAACCAAGUGAUCUACACUUGACCAGGUUGAAGUUCUGGUAACACAGAAUGGAGGACCGCACGGAUAAGCGUUGAAAAGCUUCCCGAUGAGUUGAGUGUAGGAGUGAAAGGCCAAUCAAACUUGGAGAUAGCUCGUACUCCCCGAAAGGCAUUUAGGUGCCGCGUGCAUCGAUCUCCAUGAGAGGUAGAGCGACCGAUAGGUCAAGAGGGCUUCACCGCCUAUCGAGACCUGACGAACUCCGAAUGCUUAUGGAUAGCAGAUGUGCAGUAAGGGGGCGGGUGCUAAGGUCCGUCCCCGAGAGGAGAAGAAUCCAGACCGCCGUCUAAGGUCCCGAAAUUCUGUCUAAGUUAGUCUAACGAAGUCUGGUCCCCGUGACAGCUAGGAUGUUGGCUUGGAAGCAGCCAUUCAUUCAAAGAGUGCGUAACAGCUCACUAGUCGAGGGUCCGGGCAUGGAUAAUAAUCGGGUAUAAGUCAGAUACCGAAGUCGCGGGAUAGCAUUGUAUAUAAAAAGUAUCGGUAGGGGAGCAUUCUAUAUGCGUUGAAUGGUGAUAUUGAUUGAUCCUGGAGCGUAUAGAAACGCAAAUGUAGGUAUAAGUAACGAUAAAGGGGGUAAGAUUCCCCCUCGCCGUAAGACUAAGGUUUCCCAGGCGAUGUCAAUCAGCCUGGGGUUAGUCGGGUCCUAAGUCUCAGCCGAAUGGCGAAGGCGAUGGUUUCACGGUUAAUAUUCCGUGACUUGCUCAUUCAGCGAUGUGGAGACGGAGCAGUGACACUGUCGCGCCCUUACGGAUAUGGGCGUUAAAGAAGUUAGGUGUAGAUAGAUGUAGGCAAAUCCGCAUUUAGAGCUGAUCUUCUAUAGUACAGAGUUUUCUUCGGAGAGCUUUGAUAGUACAGGUAAUCAUACUUCCAAGAAAAUCCGCUAAGCUUAAUGUUUGAGCAACCCGUACCGUAAUCGGACACACGUAGUCGGGUAGAACAUACUAAGGCGUUGAGAGAUUCAUGGUUAAGGAACUAGGCAAAUU
rnacentral:rRNA from 1 species